rnacentral:rRNA from 1 species
AUUGAACGCUGGCGGCAUGCCUUACACAUGCAAGUCGAACGGCAGCACGGGUGCUUGCACCUGGUGGCGAGUGGCGAACGGGUGAGUAAUACAUCGGAACAUGUCCUGUAGUGGGGGAUAGCCCGGCGAAAGCCGGAUUAAUACCGCAUACGAUCUACGGAUGUAAGCGGGGGACCUUCGGGCCUCGCGCUAUAGGGUUGGCCGAUGGCUGAUUAGCUAGUUGGUGGGGUAAAGGCCUACCAAGGCGACGAUCAGUAGCUGGUCUGAGAGGACGACCAGCCACACUGGGACUGAGACACGGCCCAGACUCCUACGGGAGGCAGCAGUGGGGAAUUUUGGACAAUGGGCGAAAGCCUGAUCCAGCAAUGCCGCGUGUGUGAAGAAGGCCUUCGGGUUGUAAAGCACUUUUGUCCGGAAAGAAAUCCUUGGCCCUAAUACGGUCGGGGGAUGACGGUACCGGAAGAAUAAGCACCGGCUAACUACGUG